rnacentral:rRNA from 1 species
GACGAACGCUGGCGGCGUGCGUAACACAUGCAAGUCGAACGAGAGAGUGAGAGAAGCUUGCUUUUCUUAUGAUCGAGUGGCAAACGGGUGAGUAACGCGUAAACAACCUGCCCCGCAGAUGGGGACAACAGCUGGAAACGGCUGCUAAUACCGAAUACGCUCCUCUUAGCGCAUGGUAAGAGGAAGAAAGGGUGGCCUCUGGAACAAGCUACCGCUGUGGGAGGGGUUUGCGUCUGAUUAGCUGGUUGGAGGGGUAACGGCCCACCAAGGCGACGAUCAGUAGCCGGUCUGAGAGGAUGAACGGCCACAUUGGAACUGAGACACGGUCCAGACUCCUACGGGAGGCAGCAGUGGGGAAUCUUCCGCAAUGGGCGAAAGCCUGACGGAGCAACGCCGCGUGAGUGAAGACGGCCUUCGGGUUGUAAAGCUCUGUUAUAGGGGACGAACGGCCGGGUAGCGAAGAGGUAGCCGGCAUGACGUACCUAAGAGAAAGCCACGCA